rnacentral:rRNA from 1 species
UACGUAGGGUGCAAGCGUUAAUCGGAAUUACUAGGGCGUAAAGUGUGCGCAGGUGGCUGAGCAAGUCGAGUGUGAAAUCCCCGGGCUUAACUUGGGAAUUGCGCUCGAAACUACUUGGCUCGAGUGUGGCAGAGGAAGGUGGAAUUCCGACGUGUGCGGUGAAAUGCGUAGAGAGUGAUGGAGGAACACCGAUGGCGAAGGCAGCCCCCUGGGUCAAGAUUGACGCUCGAGCAUGAAAGCUGGGGGGAGCAAACCGG